GCGGGCUUAGCUCAGUUGGUUAGAGCGCAUGGUUGUGGUCCAUGAGGUCACGGGUUCGAACCCCGUAGCUCGCC
rnacentral:tRNA from 2 species